CUCCUCCUACACUAAAAGCACUAGAACCUUGAAACUUACACACAUGGUAGCUAUGAGCAUAUGUGCGACCCUGCACUAUUUGGAAUUUUGAUCUGACCCCUGGGUCAAAAGUUAUAGCGGUUGGGGUGGGGCCGCGUCAGAAAUUAUCACUCAUUUUUUAUACGCCCGUAUAAAAUACGGGACGUAUUAUGUGAAACCCCUUGGCGGGCGGGCGGCGGGCGGAAGGCAUCACUUUGUCCGGACUCUAAUUCAAAUUGUAUUCAUCCGAUCUUCACCAAACUUGGUCAGCAGUUGCAUCUAGUUGAUAUCUAGGCCAAGUUCGAAUAUGGGUCAUGCCGGGUCAAAAACUAGGUCAUAGGGUCAAUUAGUGCAUUUUCAACGGCGCCACUUUGUCCGGACUCUAAUUCAAAUUGUAUUCAUCCGAUCUUCACCAAACUUGGUCAGUAGUUGCAUCUAGUUGAUAUCUAGGUCAAGUCCGAAUAUGGGUCAUGCUGGGUCAAAAACUAGGUCAAAGGGUCAAUUAGUGCAUUUUACUUUGUCCGGACUCUAAUUCAAAUUGUAUAAAUCUUAUCUUCACCAAACUUGGUCAGUAGUUGCAUCUAGUUGAUAUCUAGGCCAAGUUCGAAUAUGGGUCAUGCCAGGUAAAAAACUAGGUCAUAGGGUCAAUUAGUCCAUUUUCAACAGCGCCACUUUGUCCGGACUCUUAUUCAAAUUGUAUUCAUCCGAUCUUUACCAAACUUGGUCAGUAGUUGCAUCUAGUUGAUAUCUAGGUCAAGUUCGAAUAUGGGUCAUGUCGGGUCAAGAACUAGGUCAUAGGGUCAAUUAGUGCAUUUUCAACGGCGCCACUUUGUCCGGACUCUAAUUCAAAUUGUAUUCAUCCGAAACUUUUAAACAACUUUUUAUCCUGCGUCAAAGUGGUAUGGGGGUCUAAACAAUUAUGAUUUAAAUAUUGUGUUUUAGAGAACAAAUGAGACUAAGUGUACACUUAUUGAUAUCAAUGCAUAUAUAUGAAUAUAUCAGUUAUAUAA